UAACAGCAGCAAAACGCUUGGGAUUAUAUUCAGCAUUGCGAGCUUGGAGAGCAAUGGCCUUCAGAUCCAAUUUGCAAUCCAGAUUCACUGUUGACACAAUGUUCUGAAGAGUAGGUACAAUCCCAGAAGGAUGCCUUUUAAGAUCAACAGGUUGGGCUCCUUCCAAGCCUUGAUCUGCCAUUCGUUAUAAGAAAUCUCUUGCAAACGGGAAACCCUAGAAUUGGGCGAAG
rnacentral:misc_RNA from 1 species